rnacentral:rRNA from 1 species
AUUGAACGCUGGCGGCAUGCUUUACACAUGCAAGUCGAACGGUAACAGGCCGCAAGGUGCUGACGAGUGGCGAACGGGUGAGUAAUGCAUCGGAACGCGCCCAGUCGUGGGGGAUAACGCAGCGAAAGCUGCGCUAAUACCGCAUACGAUCUAUGGAUGAAAGCGGGGGACCGGAAGGCCUCGCGCGAUUGGAGCGGCCGAUGUCAGAUUAGGUAGUUGGUGGGGUAAAGGCUCACCAAGCCAACGAUCUGUAGCUGGUCUGAGAGGACGACCAGCCACACUGGGACUGAGACACGGCCCAGACUCCUACGGGAGGCAGCAGUGGGGAAUUUUGGACAAUGGGCGCAAGCCUGAUCCAGCAAUGCCGCGUGCAGGAAGAAGGCCUUCGGGUUGUAAACUGCUUUUGUACGGAACGAAACGGUCCUGGUUAAUACCUGGGGCUAAUGACGGUACCGUAAGAAUAAGCACCGGCUAACUACGUGCCAGCCGCCGCCGUAAAAC